rnacentral:misc_RNA from 1 species
AUAUUACAGGCAUAACCCUAUUCAUUAGACAUAGUAAAGGAGACAAGAAGUAAAAGGAAAGAAAUGAUAAACUACAAUUAAAAAUGUUUGUUGUUUCAUUCUAAUAAAAUAUAUUGAUAAAGUGAUUCGUACAAUUUUUUUUUUUAAUUGAUUGGAUAGAAAAGAUGUAUAACUAGGUGAAUCGUGAUGAUCAUAUUAUACUUAG